rnacentral:snRNA from 1 species
GUGCUCGCUUUGGCAGCACAUAUACUAAAAUUGGAACGAUACAGAUAAGAUUAGCAUGGCCCCUGUGCAAGGAUGACACGCAAAUUCAUGAAGCAUUCCAUAUUUAA